CUGGUUUUAACUGUGCUGACACCGGGCAGUGGAACAUAUUUCUCCCCUCCUCUCAGUGGCUGUGGAUGACUGUCUUUAGGAUUAGUUCUUUAUGGAAGCCACAGCAAUGAACAAGACACAAUCCUGGACCCCAUGAGCUCACAGUGAGUGACAGCAGCCACUACAGUGUUAACGAAAGUUUAAUUCGGAGGCCAAUGGGCUGGGAUGGCCCCAGCACUUUUAGUUCCUAUGAACAACUUAUGAAAUUUUCUGUCUCACCUCUGAAGCCCUAGAGAAGUGCUACACUGCUUGCAGUCUGGUGCUGCCCAAUUUAUGAACUGCUGUCUGUUCAAAUAAACUCCACAGAAUUUUAA